UGUAUUUUUUGUCUUUUUGGCAGUAUAUUACAAUAUAAUAUAAACUGCAGCAAGCAGGGAAGUUUCAGGAGUUGCAGGGUACGGCUGUUUUGCAACCUAGCUUAAAGUGGGGCGGGCAUGUGCAGGAUCCGAUUAGAAACAGAGGGGGAAAGAGGUUUAAAAGAAACUGGGGCUGCAAAUCGUGCAUACGCUGCGAGAGGCAGACACGGGAGGUAGCUUAACUUUACGCUCCCCGGAAACAUCAGUCUACGUGAAGAAAGUUCCUGAUAGAUGCUAUGUUAACCAAUGAAGGUAUCUGUUCUCUCACCGCUGGGAUGCUUCACUUUCAAAGCACUUGAAAAAUGGCCCUCAAAGCAGGAACAGGUAAACCAAGGAUAAACAAGCAAGAGAGUGGACAUGGAACCAAUUUAUCAAUCAGUUUGAACUCGACCCAACAGCUGACCAGGGACCUACUUGGAGACUGGGGAAGCCACAGAGCAUCUGGAGGACUCACUGGGAUGUCAACAAUUUAACAUUUCUCUGACACCGGAUAUCUUAGUUCAUUCUGUUGCGCAAGACAAAGAGCCCAGGAAAUUCAACGGUUGCACAUUGAAAUAAACAAUAUUUUGGGGGAAAACUUAAGAAGCUGGGGCCAGAAGACUCCAGGUUCAAAUACAGCAUUUGGACAGGCUGUAGACUUUGCACAGCUGCAGUCUUAAUACACUGUAAUAAAUAUGCACACUUCCCAAGUGGCACACACUUAUGCAGACACUUUGAUACUAUAGUGAAGAGCAAGACACAA